GAUGAAGAACGUAGCGAAAUGCGAUAAGUAAUGUGAAUUGCAGAAUUCAGUGAAUCAUCGAAUCUUUGAACGCACAUUGCGCCCCCUGGUAUUCCGGGGGGCAUGCCUGUCCGAGCGUCAUUACAACCCUCAAGCUCUGCUUGGUGUUGGGCCCCGCCGCCCCGGCGGGCCCUAAAGUCAGUGGCGGUGCCAUCCGGCUCCGAGCGUAGUAAUUCUUCUCGCUCUGGAGGUCCGGUUGUGUGCUUGCCAUCAACCCCCAAUAUUUUUCAGGUUGACCUCGGAUCAGGUAGGGAUACCCGCUGAACUUAAGCAUAUCAAUAAGCGGAGGA
rnacentral:misc_RNA from 1 species